CGGAGACGUUCGGUGCGCGCUCGGCCGGCUGCUGCUCAUCGAUGGAAGCCUCGGUGGCUGCUCUGCCUGCGUCGCAUUUUUCUCUGGAUGCUUGUGUCGCUUCAGUCAUUUCCUGCAAGGCCAAACGCGGUGGAGCUUAUUGCCUCAGAUGACGCUGACUCACGCAAGAAACGUGUCAGCGCAUGGCGUCAGAAGUGGGCGGCGGUCAACUACCUUGCUGACGCCGUGAACGGCGGCACCGGAAAGGGAAAACAAGCCCGCGUCAGGACCAGGGAGCCAGCGUGGACGCCGUAGCCCGCCACAAACGCCCACAGCACAAUCGAGGACGGUCUGCACCGGCAACGCCCACCCGACGUCGGCCUGCCCGGCCAGAGCUUCCAAGUGCCAUAACUGUGACAACAGAGGACACUUUGCGAAAGCAUGCCUCAAGGAAGCGGUGCCAGCACAAAGAAAGAGCGUCGCCACCACCACGAGAGCCACGCACGCCGCAAGAGGGCGCCACUCUGUGCGCGGAACAGAAAAGGACGUGCAGCAAGGGUCCGUUACACGUUCG